AUCUGCACCCUAACUGCACUGUCAAUAAGAUCGUUGUUCAGAGAAAACCUCAUUUGUGCCUUUUUGCAAUCAGGGAUAUUUUCUUUGGAGAGGAAAUAACGUUUGACUAUGGCGCAUGUGAUUGGCCUUGGAGAAAGCUUUCAUUGAAGGAUGCCCAUAUGACUGCAGAAGAGAACUGCUUCGACAACUCUCUGAUGAGCUUUUAUUGAAGUAUGACCAAAUGACGAGAAGAAGAGAACUGCUCUGCUCCAGUAGGAGACCCACAACCCUCUGAUGAGCUUAUAUUGAAAGUUGACCAUAUGACAGAGGAAGAGAACUGCUCUGCUCCAGUACGUGACCCACAAAUCUCUGAUGAGGU
ensembl:processed_transcript